UCCUACGGGGGGCAGCAGUGAGGAAUAUUGGUCAAUGGUCGGGAGACUGAACCAGCCAAGCCGCGUGAGGGAUGAAGGUACAGAGUAUCGUAAACCUCUUUUGUCAGGGAACAAAGGCGGGGACGUGUCCCCGGAUGAGUGUACCUGAAGAAAAAGCAUCGGCUAACUCCGUGCCAGCAGCCGCGGUAAUACGGAGGAUGCGAGCGUUAUCCGGAUUUAUUGGGUUUAAAGGGUGCGCAGGCGGUCUGUUAAGUCAGCGGUCAAAGCCCGGGGCUCAACCCCGGCCCGCCGUUGAACCUGGCAGG
rnacentral:rRNA from 1 species